AUUGAACGCUGGCGGCAGGCUUAACACAUGCAAGUCGAGCGGGGUGAUGGUGCUUGCACUAUCACUUAGCGGCGGACGGGUGAGUAAUGCUUAGGAAUCUGCCUAUUAGUGGGGGACAACAUCUCGAAAGGGAUGCUAAUACCGCAUACGUCCUACGGGAGAAAGCAGGGGAUCACUUGUGACCUUGCGCUAAUAGAUGAGCCUAAGUCGGAUUAGCUAGUUGGUGGGGUAAAGGCCUACCAAGGCGACGAUCUGUAGCGGGUCUGAGAGGAGGAGCCGCCACAAUGGGACGGAGACACGGCCCAGACUCCGACGGGAGGGAGCAGUGGGGAAUAUUGGACAAUGGGGGGAACCCUGAUCCAGCCAUGCCGCGUGUGUGAAGAAGGCCUUAUGGUUGUAAAGCACUUUAAGCGAGGAGGAGGCUCUUUUGGUUAAUACCCAAGAUGAGUGGACGUUACUCGCAGAAUAAGCACCGGCUAACUCUGUGCCAGCCGCCGCCGUAA
rnacentral:rRNA from 1 species